rnacentral:rRNA from 1 species
CAGCGGAGCGUGUGGGUUAAUUCGAUGCAACGCGCAGAACCUUACCCAGACUUGACAUGGCCCUGAAAGCCCCGGAAACGGUCCCAGGGACAGAUGUGACGAGCGCAACCCUCGUGCUGUGUUGGGGAUGUCAAGUCGCAUGGCUCUUACGUCUGGGCUACAUACAUGGCCGGGACAUGCGCGGCGACCUCGCGAGGGGGAGCGUCGCAAAAGCCGGUCUCAGUUCGGAUGGCAGUGCAACCCGCCUGCCUGAAGUCGGAGUUGCUAGUAACCGGUGUCAGCAUAGCGCGGUGAAUACGUUCCCGGGGAUUGUACACACCGCCGUCACGUCAUGGGAGCCGCCAACACCUGAAGUCCGUGGGCCGACCUCUUUCGGGAGGAGGUAGCGGCCGAGGUGGGGGGGGUGACUGGGACGAAGUCGUACAAGGU